rnacentral:lncRNA from 1 species
CUCGAUAGGAGACCGACUAGACUUCUUUGCUGGCUCCUCUGUCGCUUCGGAGGGCGACUCAAGAUCCCUUUUCAUGCCCAUCUCGACAGCCACCUUUUGAGUAACCUUAGAGAUGUCUACCUCGAGAUACAACUUUUUGAUCAGGUUGCGACAUUGGUAGAAGGCGUAGUCAUACACAGCUUCAGAGCUUUCAGACACUUCAUCCUCUAACUCCUCAAAAGCCUUGUACAGUUCCACUGCCGUCUUAUCUUGCUCUUUCUUGAUUUAUCUUUUCAAGAUCUCGAUGGCCUUCUCGUGAGCUUUAUUGGCCUUUUCCACUUUUUUAAGCCUC